AGAUAAACCCGACCGGCAGCGUUAUCCCGAUUUGAGUAGUCAUCUUAUUUACGAUGAGCUAAUCGGGAUUAAGCAAAGGGCGGGACUGGUA
rnacentral:sRNA from 1 species